UGUGGCGUUGCCCAGACAACUAGGAUGUUGGCUUAGAAGCAGCCAUCAUUUAAAGAGUGCGUAAUAGCUCACUAGUCGAGUGACACUGCGCCGAAAAUGUACCGGGGCUAAACAUAUUACCGAAGCUGUGGAUUGUCCUUUGGACAAUGGUAGGAGAGCGUUCUAAGGGCGUUGAAGCAUGAUCGCAAGGACAUGUGGAGCGCUUAGAAGUGAGAAUGCCGGUGUGAGUAGCGAAAGACGGGUGAGAAUCCCGUCCACCGAUUGACUAAGGUUUCCAGAGGAAGGCUCGUCCGCUCUGGGUUAGUCGGGUCCUAAGCUGAGGCCGACAGGCGUAGGCGAUGGAUAACAGGUUGAUAUUCCUGUACCACCUAUAAUCGUUUUAAUCGAUGGGGGGACGCAGUAGGAUAGGCGAAGCGUGCGAUUGGAUUGCACGUCUAAGCAGUGAGACUGAGUGUUAGGCAAAUCCGGCACUCAUUAAGGCUGAGCUGUGAUGGGGAGAAGACAUUGUGUCUUCGAGUCGUUGAUUUCACACUGCCAAGAAAAGCCUCUAGAUAGAAAAUAGGUGCCCGUACCGCAAACCGACACAGGUAGUCAAGAUGAGAAUUCUAAGGUGAGCGAGCGAACUCUCGUUAAGGAACUCGGCAAAAUGACCCCGUAACUUCGGGAGAAGGGGUGCUCUUUAGGGUUAACGCCCAGAAGAGCCGCAGUGAAUAGGCCCAAGCGACUGUUUAUCAAAAACACAGGUCUCUGCUAAACCGUAAGGUGAUGUAUAGGGGCUGACGCCUGCCCGGUGCUGGAAGGUUAAGAGGAGUGGUUAGCUUCUGCGAAGCUACGAAUCGAAGCCCCAGUAAACGGCGGCCGUAACUAUAACGGUCCUAAGGUAGCGAAAUUCCUUGUCGGGUAAGUUCCGACCCGCACGAAAGGCGUAACGAUUUGGGCACUGUCUCAACGAGAGACUCGGUGAAAUCAUAGUACCUGUGAAGAUGCAGGUUACCCGCGACAGGACGGAAAGACCCCGUGGAGCUUUACUGUAGCCUGAUAUUGAAAUUCGGCACAGCUUGUACAGGAUAGGUAGGAGCCAUUGAAACGUGAGCGCUAGCUUACGUGGAGGCGCUGGUGGGAUACUACCCUAGCUGUGUUGGCUUUCUAACCCGCACCACUUAUCGUGGUGGGAGACAGUGUCAGGCGGGCAGUUUGACUGGGGCGGUCGCCUCCUAAAAGGUAACGGAGGCGCUCAAAGGUUCCCUCAGAAUGGUUGGAAAUCAUUCAUAGAGUGUAAAGGCAUAAGGGAGCUUGACUGCGAGACCUACAAGUCGAGCAGGGUCGAAAGACGGACUUAGUGAUCCGGUGGUUCCGCAUGGAAGGGCCAUCGCUCAACGGAUAAAAGCUACCCCGGGGAUAACAGGCUUAUCUCCCCCAAGAGUUCACAUCGACGGGGAGGUUUGGCACCUCGAUGUCGGCUCAUCGCAUCCUGGGGCUGUAGUCGGUCCCAAGGGUUGGGCUGUUCGCCCAUUAAAGCGGUACGCGAGCUGGGUUCAGAACGUCGUGAGACAGUUCGGUCCCUAUCCGUCGUGGGCGUAGGAAAUUUGAGAGGAGCUGUCCUUAGUACGAGAGGACCGGGAUGGACAUACCUCUGGUGUACCAGUUGUCGUGCCAACGGCAUAGCUGGGUAGCUAUGUAUGGACGGGAUAAGUGCUGAAAGCAUCUAAGCAUGAAGCCCCCCUCAAGAUGAGAUUUCCCAACUUCGGUUAUAAGAUCCCUCAAAGAUGAUGAGGUUAAUAGGUUCGAGGUGGAAGCAUGGUGACAUGUGGAGCUGACGAAUACUAAUCGAUCGA
rnacentral:rRNA from 1 species